GAUAUAAAUCAGACGGACUUUUAUUCCGAGACGUGAGAAGAUCUUCCGAGGACACAAUGAAGGAGCUGAGAGCCGUUCUCCUGGUUGGGGCCGUGGCUGUAGUAAUGAUGGCGCCGACCGAUCCAGGGGAGGUGACAGACGCGACGGAGAUGCCUAUGGCCCCUAUAGAAGACAUGGGAUGGUAUAAUAUGUUCGGCCGCGUGUGCUGCCAGAGACUUUACUGUACAGGAUGUCCAUGCAAACCUAGACCAAUGGGAUGGAUAUAUGAUGAAUUCCCACUAUAUAUAAUAGAACCACAGCCAUUUGGAUCAAGUGAAAUUAAAGAUUGCAAUUCGUGCCAAUUUAGAAAUUGCUGAAGAAAUUGGACAAAUGCCAUCAAGACACAAACGACGGAAGUGAAGCCGCAAUAUUUGCGCUCGAAGUUAAAUGCAAAUCUUCUUGUGAUCGCUGCCCCCCCAGAGUUUGUCUUGUCUCUGGACUCUCAUGUUUUAUUAUCUGAUAUUCCUGAUGUUACACAUUAAAGUAUAAUUUGCUGAACCCCCAA